UCGGGCGGGCUCAGCGCGCCCCCAUGGCCCUGGCGCCGGGUCAGCGGGCACGGUAGCAGCCUCCGGCUGUCGCCGCGGGUGACUCAGAGCUGCCCGGGCAGGGCGGGCUGGAGAUGCGCCUCUCCGCCGGGCUCCGGGCAGCCGCGGGAGGCUGACUGAGCCACAAAGAAGUUUCCCCGGCGGCGGCGCGGCGCUCCCCCAUGCGCGCCUCCGGCCGCCGGUCCUGGAGCGCUGCUCGGCAGGCGCCCGGCGCCGACCCCGCCAUGGAGCCCCGCGCGGGGCUGCACAGCAGCCCGGAGCUCAGCCGGGCUAAGCGGCUGACCGUGGGGGAGCUCUGCUCCCUCUUCGAGGCUCGCUGCGCCGCCGUCGCCGCUGCCGCCGCCCGUCAGCUGCCCGACCGGCCGAAGAGGGGCUGCCGACCCCCGAACGGGGUUCUGCCGCCCGUCAUCCCCCGGCUCACCGUCACCGCCGAGGAGAGCGAGGAGGCGCAGGGCAGCCCCCAGGCGCGGCCGGCGCGGCCGGAGGGCGGCGGGCUGAGGACGGGCAGCUCGCUGCACCUGCAGUCCCGCAGGCUGUCCAACUCCUCGGUCUCCUCCACCGGCUCCUCGUCCCUCCUGGAGGACUCGGAGGACGACGUGCUGAGCGACACGGAGUGUAGGAGCCAGGGCAUCGUGCACUUGGAGCACGGCGAGGACACGAGCCAGUCUCCUGUGUCAGAUGCUCAAAAUAAAAUUUUUCCAGGCAUUUCCCAGCAGAAAAAGGCAUGGCAUACAAUUAAAACCAUGGUUAACUUACCAGUCAUCAGCCCCUUCAAGAAACGCUACUCAUGGGUGCAGCUGGCUGGGCAUACAGGGAGUUUCAAGGCAGCUGAUAGUGGGAAGAUUCUCAAACGCUUGUCAGAGAAUGAAAAGGAGUGUUUUGAGCGAUUGAUGAAAGACCCACUACGAGCCUGCGUCCCUUGCUUCCAUGGUGUGGUGGAAAGAGAUGGCGAGAGCUACAUCCAGCUGGAUGACUUGCUUACUGAUUUUGAAGGACCAAGUGUGAUGGACUGCAAGAUGGGGAUCAGAACAUACCUGGAGGAAGAGUUGACUAAGGCCCGAGAGAAGCCAAAGCUGCGUAAGGACAUGUACAAGAAAAUGAUUGAAGUGGAUCCUCUUGCUCCCACUGCUGAAGAGAAUGCCCAGCAUGCUGUCACCAAACCUCGGUACAUGCAAUGGAGAGAAACCAUCAGCUCUAGUGCUAACCUGGGCUUCAGGAUUGAAGGAAUUAAGAAGGCAGAUGGAACAUGUAACACAAACUUCAAAACUACGAAGACACAGGAGCAAGUUCUACAGGUUUUUGUGGAAUUCAUUGAGGGCAACACAACCAUUCUGAAAAAAUACCUCAAACGUCUGCAGGAAAUUAAUGUCAUUCUUGAAUCCUCAGACUUCUUCAAGCGACAUGAGGUCGUAGGAAGUUCACUACUUUUUGUACAUGAUGGCAGUGGGAAUGCCAAUGUGUGGCUGAUCGAUUUUGGAAAGACCACUCUUCUUCCUGAUGGGCAGACACUGGAUCACAGGAUCCCCUGGCAAGAAGGCAACAGGGAGGAUGGGUACUUGUUGGGAUUGGACAAUUUGAUUGGCAUCUUGGAAAGCAUCACUGAAAGAUGAAUUGAGAAAGGCACAAAACUUGCAGGGCUUCUCUGUAACUUUCUGCUUUACUGAAGUAGAAGGAGACUCAGAAGGAAACUUAACUCCAAACUCUUGAGGUCAUCAGUGCAGAGGGAGCUGCAUCCAGAACCCAGCAGUCAGUGAUCAAAGUUACUUUGCAUCAGCCCUCUAUGAACCUAAAUGAGUCACUCCAAAUUGGUGUGUAUUGCACCAGAUGAACUUGAGACUGGUCCUCAGAGAAUGAAGAUCUCCAUAGUCGGGAAUCACACCAGCAUGAGUCAAGAGCAACCAGCAAGGACUUCUGAUUAAAUCUGCUGUCAUUCUAUACACAGCAAGAAAAGAUAUACAAAAGAGUAAUCCUGAGCAGUACAGAGUGAGUAAUUUACGAGGUUUAUAAGCAGACCCUGCCACUGGAAGAAACUGGAAGAUUCUGAAGGCUGAGGGAAGUAUUUGAUGAUAUUUACCUGGAUUUUUAACAGAGACUUCCUGACUGAGAAUAUAAUCUGCUUUUGCUUUUUAUUUCUUGAUUGGCUUUGUGAGAUACUCUACAUCUAUGAAUAGCAAAUAUUUAUUGCCUCUAUUUGCAUUUGAUUUUUAAAUUCUUAUUCUGGAUUAUUUAGCCAUACUUUUACUGAAUACAAUAGAAAGACUUCUCAUGUUUUUCUGGGAAAUUCUGACCUUUUUUAAGGUUCUUGCUGAGCACACUUUUUUUUUUUUUUGAGCAGUGCAUUUCUUGAUGCUUUUCAGUGAGUAGCAGCAGUGAUUAAAAGACAUUUAUUACCAGGUAUCAGUCUUGGAGGUGAAAAUUCCCUCUAGAAAAGCUUCUGGUGGCAUCCACUUGACAGGAAGCAUGGCUCUUCCUCCCUUUCGGUAGUAACUUGCUCUGGGAGAGAUAAAAUGCAUAAACAACGUCACACAGCCUGAAAGGGCUUUGAUACAGAAAAGAUCUUAUCACCACAGUAACAGCAGCUGGGGAUUGCAUGUAACAGUGGGGGCCAAGUGAGAAAAAGGAAAAGUCAUCAACACAAAUAGUGCUUUGGAGUAGGAUUUUAUAUUCUCUUUGCAACUGAGAUGGAAACGGUUCUUGUGCACAGCUAAAGACAUCAGUCUUGCCAAUGCUUUGCACAGGAUGUUGAUGCACUAAGUCUUCUUGACAUCAUGAAGUGACAAUUAUGGUUGCUAGGGGUUUUUAAUUUUAAUUUCAAUUUAAGAUUAUUUAUGAUCUUUAAGAUUAUUUAUGAUCAAGUAGCUAAUAAAUUUGCCUAUGCUUGGUUUAGUGUCUGCAAGUGUUUGUAGUUUCCUGGGACCACAGUUGAAGUGGAUUGGUUCAUAAGCCUAGAUGUGUUAAUUUACAGUCUCUUAACACAAGUUAGUUAACUGUUCAUUAAAUUCAGACACCUAAUGGAUGGUUCCACUGCUUCACAUACCAUGAAACAGUUCAAAUCUGUCAAAAUGAUACAGAUUUCCGGGUUACUCACAGAACUGAAAUUGCCCUUCACUUACCUGUAAAUAUCCCUGGCCAUUCCAAAGUCACCAAUUUUGGCUAUUCGUCCUGCUCCAGUACAGGUCAAAAGACAAUUCCUUGCAGCUAUAUCUCUUAAAAAAAAAACUAAAAAUUAAUUCUUAUUCUAAACUCUUAAGUAGUUAAAUGAGUAAAGAAAAAUAUUAGACCCAGUCCUGCAAGUCUUGAGUAAUCUUUACAUAAAUGAAAAAAGCCCUGUUAAUAUAAGAAAGAAUUCCAGUGACAUUAUUAUUUUUGUUAACCACAAUUCCUAAACUGAAUUUGAAUUAUAUCUUCUACCCAGCACUUGCCAAACUUUCGCCAUUCACACCAUCUCUCACUAAGGCAGAAAACAGCAUCAGUAUCAGAAGAGGAGCAGACCCAACCUUUUUUGCUUCACCCACAUUAUGACAGAUUUCUUUCUUGCUCUAUUUUUUUAAAGAGGGACAUCUCAGCGGUGUCCCCAUCAGUUACAGAUGUGAUGCUGUUGGACAGCCUUAGUAAGCUGCUUGAAAAGUUAUGUGGAACCAGAUUUGGUAAUCUGUUGCUUUGUUACUUCUGGAUAUCUCCCAUGGAAUCAAUCAAAGCUCCAUAUGGAAGCAGCUGUUAGCUGGGUGCCAGUUUAGCUUGUGAGAAAUGGAAGUGAUGCCUUUGUGGCCAAGGCUAAAAUAUUUCUGUUCAUUUUAAAUAUGCAUUCUGAAAAGAAACUCAUUAAAAUCUUAGCACUGUGGGGGUCUUGUUGACUGCCAAGAAAAAUAAGCUCCUUGAGCAACUCAUAUGUUUCUUCCCAUUGCCAACCUUGAAAAGAUCUCUGAGAAUUUGGAAGUCAGGUUCAACUUUCUCUUCUGUUAUCAGCUGUGACUCCUAGAUGACAAUUCCUGCCCUGUAGAGGCCUCUCUACAACCCCACUACACUACCUUUUACCCCUAGAAUUCCUGAUAUCUGUAAUGAAGGCCUUUUUCAUUUCCCAACCCACCCUAAGUAAUGCUGAUAUCACUAACAAAUACUCUAAUACAAAACCUGAGGGAAAUUCCUAGUGCUCAGAUUUAUUAUACUGUUGGCUAAGACAAAAUGAAUCCAGUCACAGGUUGCUUAUAUUAGAGAUCCAGCAGUGCAAAGACUGACCCAGAGAUUUUUUAUUUAAAGUCAUAUGCUGCUGUUACUAGUACAGUAAGGAUUCUAAAAGAUAAUGCUGUAGUGAUUAACUCCAAAGUUUCCAAUUAGAAUACUGAUCCUUUCAUGUAGUUAUUAAGAGAUCCAAGAGCCAAAACUUGCUGCACCUUCUGACUGCUCAUUUUAAUGACAGAUACCUCUAACCCUUUUCCACUGGAACUUUGUUAUUGUUGCAAUAUGAAGGAGUCUGAAAACUGUUCCAGAUGUUCUAAUCACAAAGGCAUAUAAAAUAUUCCCAUAUCUCAGCCUCCUGGCUUUUUGCCAUUGUUUCCCUGGAUUUCUCCAGCCCCUGCCCGCUGUUUCCCAUCUCUGCUGUGCAGCCCCACACGUAGGUACCCGUGUAGUUGAUUGCCUGCCUGCUCAUCUCCAGGCUGCACCUUGGUUUGUUUAAAGCCUGUGUGACCCUCUGGUGUGCAAGGGCUCUCCUCUCCUUCACACACAAGUGCAUGCACUUCACAGUGAGGAAUCCAGCUGCCCACUAGGAACAUUAUGAGCUGCAACAAUUCUUAAUCAAAAACAAAGAUUUCAAUACCCAACCAGGAGUUUUUAAAGGCUAACUACAACCUUUAUCCUUUCUAUAAUAUUUUGCUCUUACUUGAAGCAUUCUAGAUCAACAUUUUUUUGCUCAACAAAUGAGUGAAAAGGAAUUUGAAGAGACAAAUCCCAAGAGCAUGCAAGCAGGUCAGCCACUGAGUUGGGAAGGAAGCCUGAGGAGUGCUUUUAUCUCCUGUAAUCUUUGCUCUACCCUUCUCUGGUCUUUGGCUCAAAUAUUAUGGACUGUCUUGUGCUGGUGGGGUAGGUCAAGAUAGAAAGAUGUGAAAGGAAAUAAAUACCUUAGUGUCUCAUCAGCCAACAAAGAGAGUGACACUACCAUCUAGUGGACUACAGGGCUAAUCUCAACUGUCUACAUCGCAGGCACCCAAGAAUUAGUACUUAAACCCUCUCACUUGGAACAAAACAUUACUCUCCCUCCAGGGCUGCAAAGAACAACGUGGAGCCUAACUCCUGAAAAACCCCAGGGAGAUCCACCUGGUCAUCUGAGCACAAGUCUGUAUUGGUACAGGAAAUAAUCUGUCUCUUGUAUGGAGAUUAGUUCUGUCUAAUCCACUGCAAAUAGAGAGCAUAUGAGCCUCAUGCACCUUGAGACACAUCAGAAGACACUGUUUCUCCUCACCUGUGGAUGAAAUGAUUCUCUUCCAGAUAUUUACAGCCGCAGGCAAUAUCCCUAGCUAUAUUCAGCAGGUCCUGCAUUGUUAGUGUGGAUGGUUGAUUCUGGAAAAGGACAUUGAAUGGUAAGAGAAGGAUAGUGCAGUAGAAGAAUAUAAUUCAGGCAGAGGAUAAUCAGAGAAGGACAGAAGAAGGAUAAGGGAGAGACAUACAUACAAGGAUGGAGGAAUGGUUAAAUGAGUCAGGAGUAAAGAGGAACAUAAAGCAGAUCAAAGCAAAGUGUUAGAAAAUGAGUAAACUCUUAUUUAAUCCCAAAAACUUUCAGGAGAUUUCACCUCUCUUGAGCACCAUACAUGAGUGCAAGCUGGCAAGAGAUUUAUGGCCUGGUGUGAAUAGCCUGUUAAAGGGGGUGGGAAAGAAUUAUUCCCUACUGUGUUGUGUGAAAUCAAAAGACAAGCAGAUUUAAGAGGUGAGAUAGAAGAGGAAAAAAAAAGCACCCACUUUUAAAGAGUGAGUCAAUAAAUUACCAACAGGAAUUAAUGCAAGAAUGAGAGAGAGAGAGAGAGAGAGAGAGAGAGAGAGAAAAGAUGUACAAGUGCACAUCUUUACACCAACAUCAGCACUCAUCAGCUUAUCUGUCCUGGUAGGAGAACAGUGAUUACUCUCAGGACCAUAAGAACAAUAAAGAAGACUUCUUCCAGGACCCCUGCUUAUUUUCACUCUCUUUACAUAGUCCUCCAUAGAUAAAUUUUUGACAGUUUUUCCUCUAGGAACUUCUUUAUUGCUCGCAGGAAGGGUGAGGAGAAAUCACUAUACUGCUAAUCAAAGCCUGAGAUAUAUCAAAUAAAUUAGGCUCAGUAUAAAUUUGUGCCUCUCCAUGUGGUGCCAAUGCACACCUGCUGAGGACUUUGUGCUAUGAAUCCCAAUUAUAACUUCAGUGCUAUGAAUUCUGAUUAUAACUUUAGCUCCUCACGUGCCAUCACGGUACACUGAAAACAAAGCAUUUAAAGGUAUUUAAACAAAGGCAAAUUUAAACCAUUUAAACAAAGGUAUUUAAAAGAUUCAAUGCCUAAAAAUUCUAAUUGACAGAGAAGUCUAGAAUGGCAGGACAGGAUUUUACCCUCUCAGUUACUAAUAGACUGGCAUUUUUGGCCCUGCUUUGAUUUUGUCUCACUGACACCUGCUUGCAUCCUGCAAACAGCCACAGGUAUCUCCAAGUCUGUGGGAGCUGAGACACACACACAGCCUAGCUUGGCUUCAGUGCCUUUAUCCAGCUGAUAAAAACAUAAAAGCAGUCAUACUAAAAUCAAUGACAAUCCUCUCAGAGAAGUUCUCUCACCAUCCUGGGUCGGUUCUGCCGGAGAAAGCUCUUCAUGUCUCCUCCAGCCAUGAGCUCCAGCAGAAUGAAGCGAGGCAGCGUCUGCAGGCUGACACCGAUGCACUGCACGAUAUUUUGGUGAUUGAACUUACUGAAAGCCAAGGUCACAGCACAUGGAAGAGAAACACAGCAUUAGUACCUGGCCAACAUCCAUCCAUUCUCAUUGUGCCUUGAGAUUUGACAAUCUGGACUGAAGCAAACCCUGAUUACCAAAAAAUUGGUAACCACAAGUGGUUACCAAAAAAUCUUCAACCAUAUCAAAAUGCCUCUCUGCUUAUGACAGCCCCAAGAACAGGGUUAUGCCUGGCUUUCCCCAUGAAAAGCCUUCAACAGAAGGUAUGAAAAGCUAAAAGCAAGGCAGAGCCCUCUGUCUGUGAAGACAGAAUUUAAUGGACACACUGACUGAACGAUGAGUGUGAUAUGAGAGGGAUAAGAAGUUUAAGCAUGCAAAUUUCACUGGCAUUUGUGAUACGAAGUCCUGGCUGGUUGGGAUUUUAAUUCAGCACUGGUUAUUUUAGACAUAGUGUUGUCUAGUUUGGGGACUCAGUUCAGUGUUUAGUCUGCCAGAGCGACUCAGCUAAUACCUAGUGCAGCAGCUGCUUCUGUGAUUCUGCUUUUAACAAAAGGAAGCUGAGGUUGUCACGAAGCACAGUGAGACUCAGUCAUUAGACAGCAGCGUCUUCCCUUAGAUAAUGAUUACCUGGAUAAUAAAGGAACUAAAAAUAGAAAGGAAGUUGGGGAAGAGAAAGAGUCGUGCUACUAAGUGAAUCAAGGCACUCCUUAAUGGAUUAAAAUUGCUCUUUAAAGAAAAUACAUCAGUAUUACCUCCUGUUCAGCUACCAAAGUUCUUGCAGACUGUAGGGAGCGGCACUAUGUCAUGAGAUUCAUGCUUUAAUAGCAGAAAACCAGCCUCUAAGUAAGAGCUGGGCCAGACAAUGAGAAGAAAAACUUCACAUUGCACAAAUUCAAAAUUUAUAAAUUCCAAAUUACGACCAACCUCCACUAUGCCACUAUUUGAAAGUUACCCUUGAUCCUACUAUUGUCUUAAGAUUAUGGAUUUUGUUAAUGAAGUAAAUUCUAAGGCUGGAAUACCUCAAGUACAGGUGGUAAUAGGAGUGUCUGUCUCUUAUCUCUCCCAAGAAGGUUUUAUAGAUGUUAUAAUUCACUGCCAGAGGGUCAUGGACAUAAGACCUUAUAAAGGUUCUGCCAAGCUUGCAAAGACAUCAAAUCAAAUGCAGAACAUGUUUGUACAAAAAUGUUGUACCUUCUUACUCCUUUGAACAGGACCAGCAGAACCAAACAAUAGAAGUUUUUGUUAAAUUAUAAUGAUUUUUGGGUGGGAUAGAGUUAAUUUUCCUCACAGUAGCUCAUAUGGUGCUAUAUUUUGUAUUUGUGAUCCAAACAGUGUUGACAACACGUUGAUAUUUUAGCUACUGCUGAGCAGUGCUUACACAGCAUUAAGGUUUUCACACACACACCUCCCCCGCAGUGAGAAGGCUGCGAGGACAAGAGGUUGUGAGGGGACAUAGCCAGGACAGCUGGCUCCAAAUGACCAAAAGGACAUCCCAUACUGUAUGGUGUCAUGCUCAGCUUUAAAAGCUGGGGAAAGAAGAAGGAGAAGGGGAAAGAGUCAAUCAGAGUCUUCCCAAGUAGCUGCUGUGCAUGACGGAGUCCUGCUUUCCAGGGAUGGCUGAACACAUGCCUGCUCAUCGGAAGUAGGGAAUUAAUCCUUCAGCGCUGCUUGCUUUGCUCACACAGAUUUUGCUUUACCUAUUAAACUGUUUUUAUCUUAACCAUGAA